rnacentral:lncRNA from 1 species
GUUGAUAUCGACAGGUGUGAACAAUGUUGUGCGGCCAACUAUGAACAAGUUGUCAACCAAGUUGUUCCAAGUUGUUACAGUUGAACAAUGCUGUAACAACAUGUUGACAAUACUGCACAACCUUGUUUACGCCCGUUGAUAUCAACCUGGAUCCAAGUUGGUUUUCUCAAUUUUUACAUGUGUAGUGGACCUACAGUAGUGUUGCAUAUUUCUGGCAACCGUUCCUGGUUAGGUCUUAAAUUGUGUUUAUAUAUGUUCACUUGGAUUAUUCACCAAACCCAGCAUUCUAGUUCAACCAAGUGAAAUGCAAACAACAUUCUGUAUAGCAUGCAGCAUAUAAUGUAGACUAUCUGCAAAAUCUUGAUAUUUACCCACAAAACUUUCACAUGAAUCACCAUACUAGUUCUAAGACUAAGGAGGUAAUGGUAUGGUGUGGCACACCUUCUAGAUAUACAUGCACAAAUAAAAAUGUCGCAGAGAAACUGACAAAAAUCACAGCAUUCGUAUGCAGUACUUACC